rnacentral:tRNA from 1 species
AUCUUACUAGUAUAUAAGUAUAGUUGACUUCCAAUCAGCAGGUCUGAGUAAACUCAGGUAAGAUA